UGUAAUCUGAAAUUCGAUCGAGUAAUACUCCAACAAAUAUACUCAAUACUUAUCCAGAGUUUUGAACUAUUUUCUAAACAAAUAAGUGACGGACUCCGCAAAUAAAAAAUCAUGACAUAGAAAUUAAAAAAAGAUCUAUUAGUAACAUGAAUGCUUUUUGACAAAAAAAAAUUGAGAUUGCUUUUGUUGACCAAUAAAUUUUAAACAAAAGAUGCCGAGUAGCUCAUGGCCCAGUGGCCAUAUGACAGUCUCUUUGGGACCUUGGCAUCAAGGGUUCAACUCCUUCCUGCCUCCUGUAGUGAGGCCUUCCCCUCUAUGAGGGUUUGGGCUAUCGGACCGGCCCGUUGUGGCCCGAAAGUUGACAAAAAAAAAAAAACAAAAGAUAUAUGUGGGACCUAUGUAAAUCCAGUGUACAAAUAACUCUCCCAGAGAAGGUGGAUAUUAGUAGUUGUUCUAUAAAUUUAUUCACACAUUGAAACACUAGUUAAAUAUUCAAAAAAUUUCCUUGUUUGAUCACUAGCAUGGCAUAACAUUAUUUGUUUAUCCUGAUUUAAUUAAAGGCAAAAAGAUAAAUUAAUAGAAAAAUGCAUUGAAAUCAUAAAAUAAUAUUUAUUUUGUAACAAAUAUUUUAUGUUGCAGCAACAUUUAAUUUAAAAGGAAUGAGGUGAUAGAUAGAAUAUAAAGACAUAGUUGCCCUU
rnacentral:lncRNA from 1 species